UACGUAGGGGGCAAGCGUUGUCCGGAAUCAUUGGGCGUAAAGCGCGUGUAGGCGGCUCGGUAAGUCUGCUGUGAAAGUCCAGGGCUCAACCCUGGGAUGCCGGUGGAUACUGUCGAGCUCGAGUCCGGAAGAGGCGAGUGGAAUUCCUGGUGUAGCGGUGAAAUGCGCAGAUAUCAGGAGGAACACCGGUGGCGGAGGCGGUGGUCUGGGCCGGCACUGACGCUGAGGAGCGAAAGUGUGGGGAGCAAACAAG
rnacentral:rRNA from 1 species